AUUGAACGCUGGCGGCAGGCCUAACACAUGCAAGUCGAACGAGUGGCGGACGGGUGAGUAAUGACUGGGAAACGGCCCGAUGGAGGGGGAUAACUACUGGAAACGGUAGCUAAUACCGCAUACCAUCGGAUGUGCCCAGAUGGGAUUAGCUAGUGGGGGGGGUAACGGCUAACCAAGGCGACGAUCCCUAGCUGGUCUGAGAGGAUGACCAGCCACACUGGAACUGAGACGCGGUCCAGACUCCUUCGGGAGGCAGGAGUGGGGAAGAUUGCACAAUGGGCACAAGCCUGAUGCAGCCAUGCCGCGUGUAUGAAGAAGGCCUUCGGGUUGUAAAGUACUUUCAGCGGGGAGGCGUUACUCGCAGAAGAAGCACCGGCUAACUCCGUGCCAGCAGCCGCGGUAAUUC
rnacentral:rRNA from 1 species